UAAAUUGUUCACUAAUUGUGAAGUGGAAUGCAGGAAAAAAUGGUUUAAAUCUGUCUUGAAAAUUAUAAAUUGAAUUUGAUUUUUUUGUAAAAAUGUAAAAAUAUUUUUUAGGGACAAAAAAACCAUAUAAAGCUUGUUUGAUUUUAGUUAUGUUAAUAUUUAAAAUCAAUUUAAUUAGGGCAAUAAUUUAUGAAUAAUAAAUAUAAAUUUAAUUGAAAUAAUAAUACCGGUAUAUAAAAUAGGAUGAUCCAUUAUUAAUGAAAAAUGAUUAAGUUACUUUAGGGAUAACAGGAUAAUUUUUAUUAGAAAGUUUUUAUUAGUAAUAAAGUUUAUUACCUCGGUGUUGAAUUAAUUUAAUUUAAUGGUGAAGUAACUUUUGAGUUUGACUGUUCGUGAAAUAAAUAAUUUCAUGAUCUGAGUUC
rnacentral:rRNA from 1 species